rnacentral:rRNA from 1 species
GAUGGUGAGCGAAUCCCAAAAAGUGCGUCGUAGUCCGGAUUGGAGUCUGCAACUCGACUCCAUGAAGUCGGAAUCGCUAGUAAUCGUGAAUCAGAAUGUCACGGUGAAUACGUUCCCGGGCCUUGUACACACCGCCCGUCACACCAUGGGAGUGGGCUGCAAAAGAAGUGGGUAGUUUAACCUUUCGAGGAGGACGCUCACCACUUUGUGGUUCAUGACUGGGGUGAAGUCGUAACAAGGUAGCGCUAGGGGAACCUGGCGCUGGAUCACCUCCUUAUACGAUGAU